UGUUACCAUACUUAUAAAUAAUUUUCUUCUGGUUCCGUUCCGUUCCGCAAAAUACCAUUACCCGUGUGGAUAUUGGUAUUUAACGGAACGGAACGGAACCGUUUAAAAAUUUUGAAAUAUAAAAUAUAUCAUAACAACUACUAGCUGUUUGUUUGUUUCUAUGUUAUUUUGAGAUAAAUGAAGCAAACCAACAAAUCAUUUCAUCAAUUCAAACAUCUUGCAUAUGUGCAUAUCACUCCUGUGUUGUGUACAGCUAUAACUUUUAUUUCAUCUAUGAUACUACAUUACUUACAUGGAUGAUAUUACUAGUUUGUUCAUCAAGCUAGCAAUAACGCAAUGUGUAUCCCAUAUUACGUAGAAUUCUAAAAUAUAACGAGCACAUUCGCAAGGAAAAAGUUUAAUAUUCAUCACUUACCUUCCGUCUGAACAAUUUUCUUCUGGUUCCGUUCCGUUCCGCAAAAUACCAUUACCCGUGUGGAUAUUGGUAUUUAACGGAACGGAACGGAAUCUUUCAAACUGUUUAAAAUGUGAAACAUAUUUUUACAAAGGCAACAUUUAUUCAUUAUAUAAUAAAUUAUUUGAUUUUUUUUAGGAAGAGUUAGCUAGUUGGUUAAUCAAGCUAGCGAAAUACAAUGUUUACAUCAAGUCGAAGUUUAUAUCAAAUCCAUUUGCAGGGUUAUAAUCAUUUUUAAAAAUAAAUACUUGAUAGCCUUAUGAGUGGGCUGACUUAUUAAGUUGGGAUUAAACUUCAAUUGCGCUUCCGUAAAUUAAAAUUCUGGGAAGGAAUUAGACAGUCCUUGUUAGAGAAACUCGAAGAUUCUAGGUCAAACUGGAUACAAUGUAUAUAUCUUGAAAGACUGCCCAUAAGUAUCGUCUGCAUUCAGGGGUCUUUGGAAUCAGCUUAGUGAGAUUGGAGAGAAAAUGCAUUGGCAGUAGUUUGCGACAGGACCAUGAAAUUCAGAGUGCUAUCUUGCAAAUUACAAUUUUAAGUAAUAAGUAGAUUUGCAAUCGUACAAUGUAAGUACUUUGCUAUAAUAUAUAAGCUUCUCUCCGCACAUAUGCAUACAGACAUGAAAAUAAGCGUACAAACUAAAAAUACACUUGCCUAUUAUCAUUCUUCUGAAAACUACAUUACCCGUAUUUCAAUAGAUUGUGUAUUCACGUUUGACCUAAAAUAAUAUUCCGCUGGCUGACUUUCUAAACUUUCUUUUUAAAAAGCUAAGCUAUAGCUUGUUUGUUAUACAUUGAAAUGAAUAAUGAUAUAACAAAUGUUGUUACGAAACUUUUGAAUAAUUUUCUUAUGAUUCCGUUCCGUUCCGCAAAAUACCAUUACCCGUGUGGAUAUUGGUAUUUAACGGAACGGAACGGAAUCUUAAAAAAAAAAAAAUAAUGGAAAAUAUCAAAACAUCAUUUUGGGAUAUAAGAAGCAAGCUAACAAACCAUUUCAUUAAUAUAAAAUUAUAAAUAUCUUGUGUGCUUAUCUUGUGUACAACGUUAACUUUUAUUUCUGUUAUGUCUUGUGCAUAUCUUAUUUUGAUUACUACGUGUAUUUUGUACGAAAGAUUUUGUGUACGACUUGUUUGUUUAUGGGUGGAGUACUGCGCCAUAUUUCUAAACGCUCGAUUACUACAGUUUUUUGUAAGCCUUGAAUUCCACUGUAUUCUUAUCGCAUUGCAGUUAUCUGUCAAUUAAAAUCUUUAAUGCUUACUUUAUGUCACAUUUUGCACGAGAAUACUUUAAUCACAGGGGCUUGGUUGUUGGAUAGUGAAUUUCCUAAUUAUUUGUUCCCGAAGAAAAAAUUGAUUAAAAUUGGUAAUCUUAUGUGUAUUUCUGUGUAUAUUGCAAUAAAUAAAUUCACCGAAACCCCCCGUUUCAAUCAUGUUAAAAAGGUGUAUUCAAUGUACAUUAAAAAAAGUAAAGGGACGACACUCGCCAUUUUGGAUUUAUAGGGGGUCCUCAUUUCAAGCUAUGUUUUAAACAAGUUCUUCCGUUUCUCCAACGAUUUCUGACGAUAUAUAGGUUGUAAAAUGUUAAAAUUACUUAUUCCUAUCGAGUUUAAAUGAGUUAAAUUGCACGAGAUAUUAGACAUCUUGUACAUGGCUUUGCGUAGAUCAUCGCUAUUUGUGAAUAAACAUGUCGCUUGAUAGUCCUUGGAAAACAAAACACUUAUUAGGUUAGUUACUGACUCACUACGGAUAUAUACUGGGUUGAUCAAUCUCAUAGAUGGCGAGGCGUAGUGAGUCAGUAACUAACCUAAUAAGUAAUAGUAUGACGUGCCAUAAGGGUAAUCAGUUGUCGUUUUGAUUCAAGUCUGUAUGUUGAUCUAGCGUUGGUGUGUGAUUUGUGCUUUGAAUUCAUUUGUCUUUAUAUGUAUAUUUUAGUUUCUACCGUCGAUGAGAGAUUUAUUGGCCAAUAAAUACAUUUCUGAAUAUUUUGUUUUAUUAUAAUUCUAUGUUAAUUUCUGAAAGCAUGUUUUCGAGAUUGGUUGUGCAUAUAUACGUCUGUCUGUCGGUGUAUACACUUGUCUGUACAUGUGCUUUUUUAUCUUUGUUAUGUGACUGUGUCUAUAUUAUACUUGUAUUCUAAAUCUCAAAUGAAGUGAAUAUAUGAUGUGUAUGCACUGUAAAACUAAAUAUAUAAGAUGAUGUGAAUAACUUGUACAUGAAAGUUCGAAUAAAAAAAAAUACUGAAAUCUGA